rnacentral:rRNA from 1 species
AAAGGUAAUAUUUCUAAGAAACCUUUACCCCUUGGCGGCCUUUCUUCUUAUCAGAGGAAUUCGUCCUAUAAUCGAUAUUACCCGCUUACUUUUUCUUCUUUUUAAUCCUUUAUACCGCCGUCUUAAGAAUAAAAUAAAAAUUUUAUUUCCAACCAUUUUUACCAAGUCAGGUCAAGGUGAAGAAUAUAAAGAAGUCUGGAUAAAUUACCCAUUUAAAUAAUUAUUGGAAUUUAUUCCAAAGAAUUUAAGGAAACAGGAUUUGAAAGUAGUUUUUUAAUAAAAAUUUAAACCGAACAAGCACUUAGGUGUACACAUCGCCCGUCGCUCUUA